rnacentral:tRNA from 1 species
GAUGGGAUAGCUCAGUAGUAGAGUGCAUGCUUAGGAUGCAUGAGGUCCUGAGUUCAAGCCCCAGUACCUCCA